AUGAUUCAGAAGAAGAUAUCCAUUAAAAAUAAUAAUAAGUUCAUACAACCCCAAGAAUAUAAAAUAAAAUAUAAAACCCGUGUUCCUUUGUUAGGGCUGCAUCCAACCCUAGAGAGGAGAUCAGCCUUCCAAUGAAGUCGUGGGCGACAGCAGCAGUGGCACAGCAGCGGGCUCUCAUUUCUUCCUUCCGGCUUUUUCCUCUCCCGUGGGACUCCCUUAGCAUUUCAUUUUUUUUUCUUUUUCCGUGGGAAGUUCUUCCCACAAUACCCAAAAGCCUCUCUUUCCUUUUUACUUCGGUGGGAACUCCCUCUCUCCCGAGAUCUUCUUCUCCCGGUCGUCAAUGAAUCCUCCUCUGUUCACCCUGGGGCCUUUUAUAGGCUGCGACUCCCCUCUUCUGUUUCGAAUGUAGAUAAGGAUGAACCCUUUGCCGUUGGGAUGAAGCUUGGCCUGAUUCGUGGACUGCUGUGGUUCGGAUCAAAGGAGAAGACGCGUGAAGCCGGACGCGUCGGAAGAUGAGCUGAGACGUUAGCGAUUUCAUGGGAUCAAACCGGAAGAGAAGCUGGGAUUUGAGUUUAUCCCAUGGAUAUGCAGACGCUGGGAGUAAAACGGAAUGAAGGUGCUUAGAUAUGGCUCGGUUCGAUGUUUGAUUUCCUUUGGCUGGGAAGAAUCCCUCGCUGGUGGACGUGGAAGAAGCCUGGUCGUGGAGAAACAGGGGAUGUUUGGAUGCCGUGAAACUCGCAAGGAUGGAGCUGGAAUCAAAUGGAUGCAGCUGGGAGAUGAGUGGAUCACGGGAGGAUGAACUCGAUUCGGUUGGGAACAGGGGAGAUGUUCCACGGGAUUCGGCAGCUUGGGUGUUGGAUAAAGAUAGAAGUUUGUAUGGCAAGCAUCGCGGGAGGAGCUGUUCCGUGGGAUAUUGGGACUUGAUUCUGAAACAGGGGAAAAACUUGGAUUCGGUUGACAGUUUAGAUGAAGCUUCCGUGAAGCUUGGGAACGGCUGGCCAUGCAUGAAAUAGGGGAGAAGAUCACAUACGGGUCUGUUCCUUGGGAUAUGGGUGCUCUGUUAUGCAUUUGGUUCGGAUUUGUUGAUGAGAAGAAGUCAGAAGAAGAUGGAAUGCUCAUCCGGAAGAUGCUGGGGUGCUGUUCACGGCUUAGAUGAGGUGCCGGAAGAAUCGGGAGGAUGAAGCUGCGGACGUACUCUAUUCGUGGAGGUUUGGAUUUGUUCUUUGGACUGCCGAAGAUGUGGGCGCUUGGAGUUGGGAUCUCGGGAAGAUUAAGCUGGACGUUGGGAGAUGUUCAUCCGUGGAGGGAAUCUAGCUGGAGAAGCUUAGGAGAAUGAAUUUGAAUGGGAUGAAGCUGGGAGUUAAUCGCGGAUGAGAUGAAGGCUGGCUUGGGCUUAUCCGUGGGUGAUGGAAAGCUAGAUUCGGUUGAGAGGGAGUGAUCCGGGAGAAGCUUUGAGUUUCGAACGGAAUGAAUGUGAGAACGAUCCAGAAGAAGGGGAAGUUUGGAUAUGAGAGCUUAUCCUGUACAUAUGGCUCUGUUCCUAAAGAAAUGACGUGGAGGGAAGCGGAAUGGCUGGGAGGAGAUCUGGGAUUAUUCAUGGGAAGUUGAAAUGGAUUGAAGGGGUGAGGCUUUGCAAUCUGUGCAACUAAGAUAGUAUGCUUUGAGAUCUGAGAAACAAUUGAUUGAAGGGAUUGUAUUAUUUUUAAUGUUAAAACAGGAGAAUUGGAAUGAGUGGGACGAAAUUUAGGUGAACUUGGAAAGCACUGGAUUUUGGAGAAGAGUUCUUGGAGUCGACUCAGGAGAAUGUGAAAUUGUGAAAUGAUGUAGUGUCCGUUUAGCCUUUACCUAAUUGAGCUCGACUCGACCUGCAUGCAUUAAGCUUAAUCAAUAAAUAAUCAAAUCAAACUUGAAUUACCUUUAAAAUGCAAUAAUGAAGGUAAUACAUUUUUUUAGUUAAAUUUACAAAAUAUGUGAAUUAAAUUAAUGAUAAGUGCUAUAAAUAAGAUAUUAAUUUAUGCAUUAUUUAGUACUUAUCAGGUAGUUGCAGAGCAAGCACUACGCUUCAAAUUUUUCGCCUCGAACAAUGAGGUGGAGUAUGAGGCGCUUAUUGCCAGGCUGAAGCUGGCAAAGGAGCUGAGGGUCAAGAAUUUGAAGGCGUUCAGCGACUCCCAACUGGUCGUGAACCAGAUCUUGGGAGACUUCGAGGCGAGAGAACCAUCAAUGAAGAGGUAUCUCCAAAAGGUCCGAGACCUCGCCCCCAUACUGGGCUCCUUCGACAUCCAGCAUAUCUCCAGAGCAGAGAAUACGAGAGCAGAUCAAUUGUCAAAACUGGCGACUUCCCGCAUAAGCGAGCUUCCGAAGACCACAGUGCUUGAGUAUCUCCAGGUGCCUAGCACCGAAGAGCCUGAACCAGCUCUCUGCAUCGAGACCGAGCCGAGCUGGAUGGACACGUUCGUCGCUUACCUGCAGAGCGAAGUCCUCCCCAAUGACGAGCUCGAAGCCUGCCGGAUUAAACGUCAGGCUUCCCGAUACCUCCUAUACGAAGGCAAGCUCUACCGCAGAUCGUUCACCUCCUCCCUUCUUAGAUGUCUCCGUCCCUCAGAGGUGGAUUAUGCUAUGUGAGAGGUUUACGAAAGAAUCUGCGGGAACCAUCUAGGAGGUCGGGCCCUGGCCCACAAAAUUUUGCGCCAAGGAUAUUAGUGGCCCGCACUCCAAAAAGAUACAUUGGACUUUGUCCAAAAGUGCGAUCGGUGUCUGCGGAAUGCCAACAUUCAUCGCCAACCCUCGGUUCCACUGACCUCGAUCAGCGCCCCAUAGCCAUUUGCCCAUUGGGGAUCGACAUCUUGGGACCAUUCUCCCUAGCCACCGGACAGAGCAAGUUCCUCAUUGUCUCUGUCGACUACUUCACCAAGUGGGUUGAAGUUUAGCCGGUGGCCCAAAUUUCUGAGCCAAAGAUGUGAGACUUUGUCUGCAAGUCAAUAAUCUCCAGAUUUGAACUUUUCCGUAUCCUCAUAUCCAACAACAGCCGCCAGUUCGACAACGCCCACUUCAGAAAAUUUUGCUCCGAGCUCGGCAUCGACCACCGCUUCACCUCAGUCGCUCAUCCACAGACAAAUGGAGAAAUCGAGGUGACGAACUGCACCAUCCUCCAAGGGCUCAAAGCCAGACUCGACCGAGCCAAAGGGCAAUGGGUCGAGGAUCUCUACAAUGUUCUCCGGGCCUACAGAACUACAUUCCGUCUCCCCACCGGCGAGACCUCCUUUAAUCUGGCCUACGGGACGGAAGCUGUCAUCCCCUUAGAGAUCGGGCUUCCAUCGCUAAGGGUGGAGAACUACGAUGAAGCCUCCAACUCAUCCCGACUCAGAAGUAAUUUGGAUCUCGUUGAGGGGACAAGGGAGGCUGCCCGAGUCCGCAUGGCGAGAUACCAAUGGAAGGCGGUGCAGUACUACAACUCCAAGGUGAAAGUCAAGCUCUUCAAGGUGGGGGAUCUCGUCAUGAGGAAAGCUGAGGCUUCUCAACCUACCGAAUAAGGGAAGCUUGCCCUAAACUGGGAAGGGCCAUACCGAGUUGCUCGAGUCCAGCAUCUUGGAGCAUACAAGUUGGAGUCCCUUGAGGGAACCCCUAUUUUCCAAAGCUGGAACUCCGAAAAUCUCCGGAUAUAUUAUCAGUAGAACCCUAGGGGUCUCCGAUGUUUGAAAAACAUAACUAACAUUUCUCCUCAUGUUAAUUUACUUACAGCUCUUCUUCAAUUAUUCAAUACUUCUCCUGAUGAUAAUCUACUUGUGAACUAUAGGAUGCCCGACUAAGUCCAGAUGCCUGACCAAUUCUGGAUGCCCGACCAAGUUUGGAUGCCCCAACUAAGUCCGGGAUGCUCCAUCGCGACAACUCCGAGUCCAAUCUUCAUCUCCAACAAGACCUCGACCAAGCUCGGGAUGCCCCACCACAUCGACCGCGGGCCCAAGCCCCCUCAACCUCGGGAUGGUCCCCCGACUAAGGUCGGGAUGCCCCGCUGCGUCGACCGUGAGCCAAGUCUCCCUCGACCUCGGGAUGCCCCGCUGCGUCGACCACGGGCCCAAGCCCCCUCGACCUCAGGACGGUCCCCCGACUAAGGUCGGGAUGCCCCGCUACGUCGACCGCGAGCCAAGUCUUCCUUGACCUCGGGAUGCCCCGCUGAGUCGACCGCGGGCCCAAGCCCCCUCGACCUCAGGACGGUCCUCCGACUAAGGUCGGGAUGCUCCGCUGCGUNNNNNNNNNNNNNNNNNNNNNNNNNNNNNNNNNNNNNNNNNNNNNNNNNNNNNNNNNNNNNNNNNNNNNNNNNNNNNNNNNNNNNNNNNNNNNNNNNNNNNNNNNNNNNNNNNNNNNNNNNNNNNNNNNNNNNNNNNNNNNNNNNNNNNNNNNNNNNNNNNNNNNNNNNNNNNNNNNNNNNNNNNNNNNNNNNNNNNNNNNNNNNNNNNNNNNGACCACGAGCCAAGUCUUCCUCAACCUCGGGAUGCCCCACUGAGUCGACCGCGGGCCCAAGCGCCCUCGACCUCGGGAUGGUUCCCCGACUAAGGUCGGGAUGCCCCGCUGCGUCGACCGCGAGCCAAGUCUCCCUCGACGUCGGGAUGCCCCGCUGAGUCGACCGCGGGCCCAAGCCCCCUCGAUCUCGGAAAGCACUGCUGGGCGCUGCUGAGUUGACCGCGAGCUAAGUCUCCCUCGAUCUCGUGGCGACAUCUUCACAACUUUUCGACGACAUUCAGCGCCCCCCGACAACGCACCUCGAGCUGAGUGGAGGCACCUUGCUGAGUCGACCAUGGGUCGCUGAAGCCGACCUCGGAGCAGAGUCCCUUAGCUCGGCUCGGACAACCCGACCCGAGACACUUAGCUCCAACUGCACAAUAGGUAUAUCCUACUCGGUACGAAAAUCUCUCUAUACUUACUUAAUUAUAUUACAGAACGAUCAACGGACGAAGCUCGCCUCCUACAUGUAUCUCCGAUGAAGCCCCGACCAGGCUCGGGAUCCUCCGACCAAGGCCGGGAUGCUCUCCCGAGUAGACUGCGAGCCCAGACUCCCUCGACCUCGCGCACGAUCUUCCGACCGAGUCCGGGAUGUCCCGACCAAGUUCGGAAUGAUCCACACCGCCAAUCUCCAGCUCAAUCUCCACCGACUUCAAAUUUCUCCAAACAAAGGCCUGACCUAGUUCGAGAUGGCCUGCAACAAUGACCUCGAGCUCUGCCCGAUGAUGUCCUAGCCGGGCUUGGGGGUACCCAGUCACACUGACCACGAACUCAAGUUCCGCCCAAUGGCAUCUCGACCAAGUUCGAGAUCAAAAAGAAUGAAAGCUCCGACGGCAGCUCAAUUUUGGCCCACGCUGCCAUUGAGUCCGAGCUCAAAGCUUUAAUAAGGCUCUUCCAGAAGUCGAACCCAAGGACUUGGCGAAAUUUCUCUGGAAGAUGAGCCAAAGGGCUUAGCGGGAUUUCUUCGGAGCCCGAGCUCAAAGACUUGGCGAAUUCCUUGGGAGUGUAAGCCUAAAGUCUUAGCAUAAUUUCUCCGAGACCGAGCCUGAAAGCUUAGUGAGUUCUACCAGGACCUAGGUCUAAAGACUUAGCCGAGCAGCCAAGAUAAAAGUUUAUCAAUUAUGCAAAUGGAAACAAACACAAACACACAGCAGAAUUUGGAAAGAAGAUAUUUCAUUGAUAAAAGCCCGAAGGCUAAGUACAAGAUUAGGCCGCAGAGGCCGAAAGCUAAGCACAAAAUUAGGCCAUAGAGGCCAACCUCAUUUACAAAAAAAAGAAGAAGGGAAGAAGCCAAGUCCUAGGGAAUUUCGAGGGCGGUAGUGGCCUCGGCGUCAGCCUCAAGGUCGUCCAUGACGAUCACGUUCUUUGAGGGAGCCACCCCGGGGUCCUCCGCUGGCCCAUGUCCGUGAGGAUCUGCAACCUCCUUGGACGGGGCCUCGCCAACGGCCUCAAAAACAGCCUCGGCCACUUCUUCAGGGGCGUCCUUGGUAACUUCUCCGGGGAGAACUUCCCUAGUUGUCGGAUCGGUCACCUCGGCCUUGGCCUCGAUGGUCUCCCGUUCGGCCUCGGGGCUUGCAGGCAUGCUGCUGGUUGUGCCGCCGUCCGCCAAAUCCUCGGGCUCGCCCUCGUCCUUGGUGAUCCCCAUGCCGGGCUGUUGCCCAAGGUGACAAGCCAAGAGAGGGGGGGGGGGUGAAUUGUUUUUUCUAAAUUUUUCGAUCCCUUAAUUAAAUCAAUUGAUGAGUGAGUGGUUUAGUUAAUAUUAAUUGAGUGUCUGUAGUGAAGUUAGAACAAUACACAAUACAAAGAUACAACAAGUAUAGUGGUUCGGUGCUCUCCUAAGCACCUACGUCCACUCUCCAAGUGUCCUCUUGGAAAUUCACUAUAAUCCCGCGGAUUACAGUUGGAUUGUUUUUCGAGCUCACAAUCCAAAAACCUUUACACUUUGGUUUUCCGGGAUCACCAAAAAUCUAUGUUGGUUUUGCGGGCUCACCAACAACCUACACCGUUGGUUUUACGGGCUCACCAACAAACCUUACAAAGUAAUUAAGAAGAAAGAGUUUGAAACUCCAAGAAGAGCAAAUAUAACAAUUUUACACUAAUAGAAGAGAUGAGAAAAUAGUUAUCGCUUUGAGGAUGCUCUUCUUUUCUUUGCCAAGGUUACUUCACUUCACAAUGGUUUGGUGGAGCUGUUGAAUGCACACUAAGAUUGCUCAACCACCUCCUUUUUGAGACUUAAAUGGAGAACCUUGAUGAAGGAUGCUAGGGCUUGCUUUGACUUGAAUGAACUAUUGAUUUCUUCGCAAAAGAUCCUUCCUCUGAUGAAUAGUGUCACUUUAAAUACUUGCCCACCUCCAUUGGUCACUCCCCAUUGGUUAGAUUUGAAAAACUAGCCGUUACUAGCCAUUAGGAGGUCAAAAAGUACUUCUGCAGAACUAGCCGUUAUGCCCUUGCCCGUGCUGGGAUCGACCCAAACUUUUCUGGGGUCGACUCAACUUACUGUUCAUUAGACUUGGGGUCGACCCAACUCACCCUCUACAGUGGGGUCGGCCUUCUCAGGAACCACAGAACCUUGCAUUUUCGGCUAUUUUUACUGGGGUCGACUCAACCUUUCUUGGGGUCGACACAUGCUACAGUGGGGUCGACUCAAGCUCCAUUGGGGUCAACCCUCUCAGUGAUUACAGAGACGUAGUUUUUGAGCACAUAUUCUUGGGGUCGGCUCCAUUGGGGUCGGCUCAAGUAUUCUUGGGGUCAGCUCUGUUGGAAAUUAUAUCCUAAAUGUCAAUCGUCAGCAUGUUGAUGAUUGAAUUUUGUAAAUGAAUUGAUAAAUUAAUAAAAUGUUAUUUGGCAUUAUUUAUCAUUUCAUUGUACAUCUUCAAAUGAACUUUUAUAUGAUGAAGUCCUUAGGACUUAUUUUAUGAUAAAGGAGGAUUUAUCUUCAAGUCCUUAAAACUGUUCGCGAUCAAAUGAUAUGCUGUUACUAGGACGACAGCAUUAUCGAGAUUAGGUCGUUGUGUGACAUAUAUGUUGGUUGUUCUCUUAACCAAGGAGUGUGGAGACACUAAUAUGUCACACAGAUGAAGUGUAGGAGUACAUUUCACUGAACGCGACCAAUUAUGGAAUGCUCUACUGUCAAAAGAUGUUCCGAGCGGAUAUGGGUAUAAGUUUGGCCCUCUAACCUGAGACCACAACCUGUGACUAGCAAGCAACUCACUGUACUUUGGUACCGGACUACCUGAAUUUCUAAUUCACUGACGGAAGGUCACUGGGUACAGUCAAGUACUUGCAUAGUCAGUUGUGAGUCAAGAUGGAAUUGACCCCUCCUGAAAAUAGGAGAUAAUGCCUUGUGUUCAAUUUAGCAAAAUCUUGGCCAGGAUAAUCCUUGUGAGAAGUCACAGGAUUUCUAAAGUUGAAUCACAUCAUGGAUGCACUUAUUACAGAGUUGACAGAACUCUGAAAUCAUCCUGAUAUUUAGGAGUCAUAGGGAUAAAUUAUACGGUAACCAUAGUCCAAGGGUUCUUGAAUGUUGCUUUGCAAUCAUUCGGCCUAUCCGGACGUCGGGUACCAUUGCUAGAUGGUCAUUUCGAUUAGUACAAGAAGUUGUUCUGGUGCUACUAGCUUAGGUUCGAAACUAUAGGGUCACACGCAUAGAAAUUUCUAGGUUGAUCAAAUGGCUGAUUGAUGAUUAAAAAUCAUUCAGGGGUAAUUUGGUCAAUUCGAUUGACAAAUUAUCCUAAGCAAAAGUUGCAUUAAAAUAAUUAUUAAAUUAUUAGAGGAUUAAUUAGUAAUUGGAUUACUAAUAAAUUCAAUUUGAUUGAAUUAUUGGACUUUAAUUAAGCCAAAUUGAAUUUAGAUUCAAUUUGGGCUAAAUUAGGGUUUGACCUAAUUCGAUCGGGUUCAACCCGAGCCGAUUGGGCAUAACCUAAUUGAUCGGACUUGACCCAAUUAGAUUGAGAUUGACUCAAGUCAAUUAAGAGUUCUUAUUUGAUGAGGAUUAAGUAUCCAAAUAAUUAGAAUUUAUUAUGAAAAAUAAUUUCUAAAAUUUAGGACCCUAGCUUUCUUUCUUGGAGAAGAAAGAUACCUCAUCCUUAUCCCUAAAAGCAGUGGUGCCUAUCCUCUUUAUUUUUGGCCAAUUUUUGGUGUGAGGAAAGAGGAGGCGUGGGGAUAUUUUUAAGAAAAAUAUGGUGCCUCAAAUCUUUCUAAAAGGAUAGGAAUCAAAUCCCUAAUUUGUAGGGACUGCAUGAUGCAUCAAGUAGGGUGGCGUACCGCUGAAGCUUGGGGUGCAAUAACCCCCUAAUUUUUAGGGAUUCUUGGCACAAGAUUAAAACAGAAUUUGUUCAUCUCUUAUCUGCUGAUUCACAAAAAUUUUUUGGAAAUUUUAUCAGCCAAAUUUAUUGGCCAAAAGAGGUGUGAGGCAUGGGGGGUCUUUUGGCUAUAAAAGGACUCCCACACCUAGGGUUUGUUGAGAUGGUCUUUAGAAAAGGUUCUAAAUUCUGAAAAAAUUAUGAGAGCCAGCCAUCUUCUCUCUCCUUCUUCUCCUACAUCUCCAUCCUUCAUCCUCUUGAAGAAGAAUCAAAAGUUGAGUGCUUCAAGGGAGAAAAGUUUAGCCACUGCAGCACCUCUGCAUGAGCUAGCACUCCUGCAGUUGUGGAUCUUCCUAGAGCUUCGCAUGGACUAUCCGUAGAGGCCGGACACGUGUGCGGCUAUACAAGGUGAUCAAGACAUCAUCAAAGUUCUCAAAGCAAAAAGGUAUGAGAUCUGAUCUCAUUAAAAAUUAAAAUUAGAAAUCAACUAGGUUGCUGAAAUUUUGUAUGACUACAUGUUAGACAUAGAAUCAUGCCUACUUGUUUAGGAUAAAUGUUUAAAGUACUGGAUCUAUUUUUGUUGUAGAGAUAUGAUCUCUAGCAUGCAUAGGAAUUAAAUAGUUUAAUUCAUGCUUUCGCUGUAAAAUUUUUAAAAAAUAUAUGUAUGCGACCACCAGGGUUUCCAACAGUGGUAUCAGAGCAAGGUUCAAAGUAGUUUAAACAUUUAUGCCUAAAACAAGUUUUCUAAUCCUAGUAGUCAAUUAAUCUGAUUGGAAUGAUCACCAGGCCGUCCGGUUAUAAGAGAAAGAAGGGUUCAUAACCCUCUUUUGCCAUUCAAUGGGAUCUGUUAUGGCAUGUAGGGGUGCCACUGUGAUUCAAUCCUUGAAGAUGAACCACAAAAAGAAGAUUAAAAGUAGUUUUAAUCUUUGUAAUUAAAUCUAAAAUCAUGGAUUUGUUUAGAUCAGAUUUAAAAGAGAUUUAUGAUUGAUUUAGUUGCUAUUUUUACAUGAUUAAUUAGAUCUGAAAAUUAGAAUGCAUGUGAUGCAUGAGAUCUAAGUAAAUUCAUGUUGAUGUAUAUGUGAUAUAAAGAACAUGAAUAAAUCUAAAAUCAUAAACUUGUUUAGAUUAGAUCUAAAUAAAAUUUAUAAUUCAUUUAUUUUCUGAUUUUGUAUGACAAAUCAAAUCUGAAAACAAAUGCAUCUGAUGUAUGCUGUUUAAGUUAAUUCAUAUGAGUUUGUAUAUGUGAUAUAUGGACAUAAAUCAUCUAAGAUUUAAACAUGAAUUAAAUCUGAAUUUUAACAUGAUUAAUUACAAAUCUCAGAUCUGAAAAAUAAGUUUUAAGAACUGAAACUUUGUAGUUAGUAUGUAAUUAAUAAUAGUACAAUGAUCUGAAUUUUCAUAAACUUACACUUAAUUAAGAAUUAAGUGAUGAUGAAAACCUAGAUCUAGAAUUGUGAACUCAAUUAAAUGACAUUGCAUAAUUUAUGGGGCAUUUGGGUUAGCUCAAAUCAAGUUCUUAAGAUUGGGUUAGACCUAGGGUUAGAAUCCAACAUGGUCCAAUUAGAGUUAAUUGAUCAAAUCUAAUUAAGUAGUAACUAGAUUAGGUAAAGAAAACUCUAGGUCAAAUACAAUAGUUGUAGAUUGAUCAAUUCGGAUCUUUGAUCAGACCAAGAUGGAACUUGAUUUAGGCUCCGUGGUUGAGCUCGAGUCAUUAGGAUGGUCAAAAUCAAAAUUGAUUAACCAAUCGGUGUCUAAGGUAGGUUUGGCAGACUCGACCAGUGGUUUUUAAUUGGAAGCUACUCGCACUGAUGCGUCUUUGUCGAGUUAAUGGCAUAUCCCUUCCACCGAUCUCACUUACCUGGCCGAUUUGGUCAAUCAUUUUUUAUUGGAUCAUUUAAUUAUUCGAGUUAACCCAUGCCUGUAAGAAAAAUCAGUUUGACUGAUUUAGGUGCCUUCUUAACUGGUUUGAAUCUAAUUCUUUAUAAUCUGACUUGGUGAAGUCAGUGGAAGAAUUUAGGUUAACCGGAUCUUCUUAUCUAUCCUAAUUUAAUCCUCUAAAAUUAUUAGGUCCUUAAAAUGAAAUAGUUAUGGGGAUAACUAGGUCAUAGCCUCCCAUUAAGUUAGAUGAUAAUGAGUCCAAUAUUUCGAUAAUCAUUGGAGGCGCCACACGUCUGGUGCUUAUCGGGUAUUGAAAUUGUUAUUUGAUAUAUGAUGAGUCGAGUGUACCUUCAAUAGGUGGUCAGGUGGGCCGAGCCACACUCGGGCUUGGUCAUCUAUUAGUUGAUUACAUGGAACCCUAUCAUUUAAUGGUUGGACCUAACCAGAAUCUUUGGUGGAGGAGCCACAUGCCUGCUAAAGAGAGUGGGGCAAAAAUUAUCACUAGAAAUUGUUUGGUGAAACAAUUGGUUCAGAACCUACUAAUAGGUGCAUAUGGGUUGGCCGAGCCACACUCGGGCCCAUAUGCGAUCAAUUGGGUUCUAGUACUCACUAAAGAUUUAAGUGUAAUUUUUCGAAUUUGAGGUAGAGGCUACAAAUUUGUAUAAAAUAGUGGGAGGACCUUUAGACUAAAGUCCAAGUCUUUAGGAUAUUGUCAAUUCAUAUACUGAUAGCCGAUUUUCUUUUUAUGCAGAAAUGGCCACUAGUUUGUUACUUCGUUCAUUGUUGGAUAAUGACAAGUUGACUGGACCCAAUUUCAACAACUGGCUUAGAAAACUUAAAAUUGUGCUAGAGCAUGAACGGAUCCUUUAUGUGAUAACGGAUCCAGCACCUGAGCAGCCUGCUGCUAAUGCACAGGAUACGGUCAGAGAAACUUAUCAAAAGUGGCUUAGUGACCGUAUCACUAUCCGAUGCAUUAUGCUUGCUGCAAUGAGCAACGAGUUCAGUCACCGGUUCGAGAACGCCCAGCCCGAAGAAAUCGUUCAAGUGUUGAAUGAAUCUUUUGGCACUCCCGACGACGUUGAAAGGCACAAGACUAGUUGUGCUAUUUUUAGCGCACGGAUGAAGGAUGGGGCAUCGGUAACUGAUCAUGUAUUGUACAUGAUUGAGUUGAUUGAGCGCCUGAGCACUCUCGGUUUUUCCCUUCAUGAUCAAUUUGGGAAAGAUGCUAUACUGAACUUUCUUCCUGGUUCAUACCGCCCAUUUCUCACCAACUUUCUUAUGACAAAACCGGUAGUAAAUUAUCACCAAUUGUUGGGUUUGCUACAAACUUUUGAGAAGGAUCACCAACUCCUAAAAGGGUCGGUGAAUUUAGUGGGAGGUUCGUCCAAGGGUCAUGGUCCCUUUAAGAAAGGGAAGAAGAAAAAUAGAAAUCAAAAGAAAAAGGUGCAUCGUGCUGAGCAAAGUCAGACUAAGAAGAAGAAGACUGAUCAGAGUAAGGUAGAGUGCUUCUACUGUAAGAAGCAAGGGCAUUGGAAGAGGAACUGUCCUCAGUACAUUGUCUCUCUUGACCCGAACAGGCCAAAGAAAAAGAUGCAAUCAGUUACAGAUCAAGGUACUUAUAUGACAACACCUUAUAUUUUCUCAAUAUGUGAUAAUUCGACCUGGGUAUUGGAUACCGAAAGUCCUUUUAAUAUUUGUAAUUCGUUGCAGGGACUACAGGUCAGUGAGAGAUUUGAAGAAAGCGAAAGGUUCCUAAAUAUUGGAGAUGGAAGAUCAGUUCCAGUUCCAGCUUUAGGGAUUCUGAAAUUUGUAUUCAAUUCUCAAAUAAUAGUCUUAAGUGACUGUCACUUUUGUCCUUCUUUUCUAUUGAAUGUAAUUUCUAUAAGCCUUCUGGCCAUUAACGGUUAUGAGAUUUCAAUAAAAAGAAAUUACUGUGAUAUCAUUAUGAAUGGUGUUACUGUAAUACAUGGACAAUUGAGUAAUGGGAUUUACAUAUUAUCACAGCCUGUUCAUGUAAUGUACAAGUCCAAUAAGCGCCCUAGAAUGGAUAAUGUCACGGAUGUCUACCUUUGGCAUCAUAGGUGAUGGAUUAGCAAAAAUGCUUUCGCGAAACUAAUCUUCCAAGUGCAGGAGAAUCGCACAAGUAGUAUAACUCGAAAGUCCGAGGUCGAUUCCUCAGAGAACGAUCUAUGGAUUUUUAGCGUAAUUUUUAGAUAUAAUUUUUAGUUAAUUUUCAGAAAUUAAAAGUAGAGAAUAGUAGAUCAAUAUACAAAGCGCAAUGAAAUAGAAAUGGUUAGGGAUCCGGAAUCCCCUUUGAUGAUAUUAUUUUCAACAAUUAAAUUCUGCGAUUCUUGAUUAAGGAUCAAUCAGAUAGAAUAGUUCUAAUCAUGGAGUAUAUAAUUUGAAAACAUGAAUUCAAGAUCUAAGUAUUUAUCGUGCCGAGUACGUCUACGACAAAUCAAACAUCGAAAUAAUGCAUGAAUCAAGAAAUAUAAACCAUAAAAGAUCUAUCUCAUAGAUAAGCAUGCAAGAAUCAAAAACAUAUUAAUAGAUGUAAAUCAAAGAGAUCAAUCGUUCAGAAUUUACUUGAAAGAAAAUAAGACAUCAAAGGUUCCUCCAUCACCCUUCACCAAAGAAAUCAGCCCUCCAUUAAAAACAUUAACUUCUUUUCUCUCUUUUUUUUUCGGGAAACAGGGCAUCCCCUGUUUCCCUUUCUCUUCCCUCCUCUGUUUUUCUUCUUUGUUUUCGAAUGGGAAUCAAUGGCCGUUCCCCCUCCAGCCGAGGGAUAUAUCAAGCUAGUGUCUCACCCCCUUCCUCGCACGUGGUGGAGACCAUCUCAGAACGCGGAGCGGACGCUGAUCGAUGGUGCUUGGACGCGCAUGGACGGCUGCGGAUGCUCGCGAACGGCUAGAUUUGUGCGUGGAUUUGGAAGAAUCGGACGCGGAAGAGCUGAGCAGCAAGGCUUGGACGUGUGAUGAGAUUCUGAUUGCUGCGAAUCCAGAAGAGGUUGACGGCUGCUGAUCACGGAUGCUGGAAUCACGGACUCGGUUAGGAUGCGUGGUAGCUGAACCAUGGAUGGCUCGUGGGAGAAGCAGACUCAGACAGACGCUGGGGUGGAGAUGCUCUCGAACGGAAGGAGGAUUGGAACCGAAAUGCAGACUCGGAAGGCUGAGACAUAUUGGAUGCUGAAAUCGCUGGGGAAUCCAACGCUGGCUCACGGGAGAUUCACAUGUGGAUGGAUCAAAGCGGAAAAGGGGAGGCUCGUGGAUGCUCGGUGGAAGCUGGGAACUCGGGAGAGCUGAGCCUUGAACGCGAGAUCCUGAGUUUGUGCACGGGAGCUAGGAUGCACGAGAUGCUUGGAGACUUCACGGGAGGAUGAGAUGGAUGCACUGGAAAGUGAACGGUGAAGAUGAUGAGUUGCACGUGGCUCCAUCGGGCUGAGAUGCACGGGCUGCUGGGAAUUGGUUGCAGUGAACUGGCUGGCUGAACUUAGACNNNNNNNNNNNNNNNNNNNNGGAUGCACGAGAUGCUUGGAGACUUCACGGGAGGAUGAGAUGGAUGCACUGGAAAGUGAACGGUGAAGAUGAUGAGUUGCACGUGGCUCCAUCGGGCUGAGAUGCACGGGCUGCUGGGAAUUGGUUGCAGUGAACUGGCUGGCUGAACUUAGACUCCUUCUAGUGUGCAACUGGGGUUGAACCAUGCAGUUGACUGGUCACCUGCGGUGAUGCAUCUGUUUGGACCCAAUGCGCAUUUUAGCUUUGAUUUAUGAUCACCUGCACCCCACAAAAAUAUAAUAUUAAUGCAGCAUUUUUAUCAUUAUUUGUUAGCAAUAAUACUAAUUUAAGUGAUGUAUAGAUCACACUUUUAUGCUCUCAUCAGACCUCCCAACUAGCUUAUUGCUAGUCUCUAGCAAUUAACGAGCAAAUAAUAAAAUGAGAGUGCAAAAGGUGUGGUUUAACCUAUGACUUUUUAUUGAAGCUAAAGACAUAAAACUAAGAUAUGUACUCACUUUCGUAGGAAUCACGAUUGCACUUAGCACGUGCAACAAGCCGUUUAACCCCUAGAUUACCCUAGUGGACGAGUGUUGUCUUGUGAGGGUUUUCAGGGAUGUUACCCACAGACAUCAUGAAUUAUAUGACAUAAGAUUCUAAUAAAAAUAUGAAAUAAAUCUUAAGCUAAUACACAUGUAAAUAAUUGAUAUAUAUUUUCAAGCAUGGCAACUGUCAAAGCAAGAAAAUAUAAAAGUGUAAUGUGCAUCAAAUCGCAUGACUUUCUCAGAGUACUAAUACCUCCACCACAAUAGAGCACCGCCUGAGUUUUAGGUGCACUACUCAAAUCCACAAGUAUUUUCUACAAUUUAUUAGAACCUGAUCCAUCAAAUUUUCAGAAUAUCACAUGUUGUCUAAAUUUGUCAAGGAUGGUUCGCAUGUAAAGAAAGAGCUAUCAAUCCCAACUAAACAACCCGGGUACACAGAGGUCCAACACAAUGGAGUCAAACCAGUCAUUACCACAUGUCACUAGGUUCAAUCCGACCAACCCUAUUCAUGCUUAUUUUUAUUUUUAAACACAUAUGACGAUUACAAUAGUCCAAUCCCAUUAGGCUCUAGUAAGGUCCAUAUAGCGAGCUUUCAGCCAAUGACUCUCGAUCCAGUUGGCUCAAGACAUUAGGUGAAAUACCCCUCGGACUUAAUUACUCAAACCAGACUAUGCCACGAGGCCAGACUUGUCAUCAUAAGGAUUUUUUUAAAAAAAAUUAUACAAGAAAAGAAAAGGUAGACUGAACCAUAUAGGUAUUUUUUUUAUUAUAUAUGUGACUGCAUCGUGACUAUAGGUCAACCAAGGUCAGAUCAUAAGGCACCUAAGUAAUCUAACUGGGAUAUUCAACCUCUAUCUUUAUGUGAAAACCAAAUCAUGAACCUUAUGGUACGAAUAAGGAUACUCGNNNNNNNNNNNNNNNNNNNNNNNNNNNNNNNNNNNNNNNNNNNNNNNNNNNNNNNNNNNNNNNNNNNNNNNNNNNNNNNNNNNNNNNNNNNNNNNNNNNNNNNNNNNNNNNNNNNNNNNNNNNNNNNNNNNNNNNNNNNNNNNNNNNNNNNNNNNNNNNNNNNNNNNNNNNNNNNNNNNNNNNNNNNNNNNNNNNNNNNNNNNNNNNNNNNNNNNNNNNNNNNNNNNNNNNNNNNNNNNNNNNNNNNNNNNNNNNNNNNNNNNNNNNNNNNNNNNNNNNNNNNNNNNNNNNNNNNNNNNNNNNNNNNNNNNNNNNNNNNNNNNNNNNNNNNNNNNNNNNNNNNNNNNNNNNNNNNNNNNNNNNNNNNNNNNNNNNNNNNNNNNNNNNNNNNNNNNNNNNNNNNNNNNNNNNNNNNNNNNNNNNNNNNNNNNNNNNNNNNACAUACCUUUGUCGUCAAGCUCAGUCAUAAGAAGGCUCCUCCAAGGAAAAGGAGUCCUCUUCAUCUGCAAAAUUCUCAAGAAAAGGUUUUAGUCUGUGUCCAUUCAUCUUAAAAAUUUUACCAUCCUGUGGAUUCUCAAUUUCAACUGCCCCGUGUGAAAAAACAGUUUUUACAAUGAAAGGACCUGUCCAUCUUGAUCGUAACUUUCCAGAAAAUAGAUGUAAACGAGAGUCAUAACAAAGAACUUUUUGCGCAGGUUCAAAAAAUUUUCUUAGAAUUGAUUUAUCAUGCCUAAUUUUUAUUCGUUCUUUACAAAGUCUAGCAUUGUCAUACGCAUCCCGACGAAUUUCAUUCAACUCACCUAGUUGUAAUUUUCUAGCUAAACCACAUCUGACAAUUCAAAGUUUAAUUUUCUAAUGGCCCAAUACGAUUUAUGCUCUAUUUCAACAAGUAGAUGACAUGCUUUUCCAUAGACUAGCCGAUACGGGGACAUACCAAGAAUAGUUUUAUAAGCGGUACGAUAAGCCCACAAUGCAUCAGAAAGUUUUAAAGACCAAGUCUUUGCGUGAUGGAUUCACCGUUUUCUCUAAAAUUUGUUUAAUCUUCCGAUUGGCUAACUCUACUUGGCCACUAGUCUGGGGGUGAUAAGGGGUUGCAAUUCUAUGGGUGAUACCGUACUUUCGUAACAGGAUCUCAAAGGGUUUAUUACAAAAUUAUUUUUUUCCAUCACUAAUUAUAACCUUGGGCAUCCCAAACCUAGAAAAUAUGUUUCUUUUAAGAAAUUUUAAAACUGGUUUGUGGUUACCCAUUUGGACACAUACUCAACACCAACUAAAAUGUACUCAUAUCCGAAAGAUGGCGGAAACAGACCUAUGAAAUCAAUGCCCCACAUGUCAAAAAUUUCAAUAGCAGUAAUGGGCUGAAGAGGCAUCAUUUGCCUACGAGUUAGACUCCCAAUA
rnacentral:lncRNA from 1 species